AGUGAACGCUGGCGGUAGGCCUAACACAUGCAAGUCGAACGGCAGCACAGUAAGAGCUUGCUCUUACGGGUGGCGAGUGGCGGACGGGUGAGGAAUAUAUCGGAAUCUACUUUUUCGUGGGGGAUAACGUAGGGAAACUUACGCUAAUACCGCAUACGACCUACGGGUGAAAGCAGGGGAUCUUCGGACCUUGCGCGAUUGAAUGAGCCGAUGUCGGAUUAGCUAGUUGGCGGGGUAAAGGCCCACCAAGGCGACGAUCCGUAGCUGGUGUGAGAGGAUGGUCGGCCACACUGGAACUGAGACACGGUCCAUACUCCUACGGGAGGCAGCAGUGGGGAAUAUUGGACAAUGGGGGGAAGCCUGAUCCAGCCAUCCCGCGUGGGUGAAAAAGGCCUUCGGGUUGUAAAGCCCUUUUGUUGGGAAAGAAAAGCAGCAGGUUAAUACCCCGCUGUUCUGACGGUACCCAAAGAAUAAGCACCGGCUAACUUCGUG
rnacentral:rRNA from 1 species